GACGAACGCUGGCGGCGUGCCUAAUACAUGCAAGUCGAACGCAGUGGGGACGGGUGAGUAACACGUGGGUAACCUCCCAUCAGAGGGGAUAACACUUGGAAACAGGUGCUAAACCGAUACUGAUGGAUGGACCCGCGGUGCAUUAGCUAGUUGGUGAGGUAACGGCUCACCAAGGCCACGAUGCAUAGCCGACCUGUGAGGGUGAGCGGCCACAUUGGGACUGAGACACGGCCCGGACUCAUAGGGGAGGCAGCAGUAGGGAAGCUUCGGCAAUGGAGGCAUGUCUGACCGAGCAACGCCGAGGGAAUGAAGAAGGCUUUCGGAUCGUAAAACUCUGUUGUUAGAGAAGCGGUAUCUAACCAGAAAGCCACGGCUAACUCCGUGCCAGCAGCCGCGGUAAGAC
rnacentral:rRNA from 1 species